rnacentral:rRNA from 1 species
CUACGGAGGGUGCAAGCGUUAUCCGGAUUUAUUGGGUUUAAAGGGUGCGCAGGCGGAUAAUUAAGUCAGUGGUGAAAUCCUCCCGCUCAACGGGAGAACUGCCAUUGAUACUGAUAAUCUAGAAUACGGUUGAAGUGGGCGGAAUGUAGCAUGUAGCGGUGAAAUGCAUAGAGAUGCUACAGAACACCGAUCGCGAAGGCAGCUCACUAAGCCGAUAUUGACGCUCAGGCACGAAAGCGUGGGUAGCGAACAGGAUUAGAAACCCCGGUAGUCC